rnacentral:rRNA from 1 species
GCGCCAAUACUGAAUCCAGUGAUACUAAGGGUCCUUAACUCGGUUGUCCCUUCGGGGACGGCGUCAGAGUGAACGCCUGGCCUGAUCUGGUAGUAGGUAAGCGAU